GUGGGGAAUAUUGGACAAUGGGCGCAAGCCUGAUCCAGCCAUGCCGCGUGAGUGAUGAAGGCCUUAGGGUUGUAAAGCUCUUUCAGUGGGGACGAUAAUGACGGUACCCACAGAAGAAGCCCCGGCUAACUUCGUGCCAGCAGCCGCGGUAAUACGAAGGGGGCUAGCGUUGUUCGGAUUUACUGGGCGUAAAGCGCACGUAGGCGGAUCGUUAAGUCGGGGGUGAAAUCCUGGAGCUCAACUCCAGAACUGCCUUCGAUACUGGCGAUCUUGAGUCCGGGAGAGGUGAGUGGAACUCCUAGUGUAGAGGUGGAAUUCGUAGAUAUUAGGAAGAACACCAGUGGCGAAGGCGGCUCACUGGUCCGGUACUGACGCUGAGGUGCGAAAGCGUGGGGAGCAAACAGGAUUAGAUACCCGUGUAGUCC
rnacentral:rRNA from 1 species